rnacentral:lncRNA from 1 species
AGCAGUGACCGACGCGUGCGUUCCGUCCCCCCACGCGGCGGCGCCGCUAGUUUGAGGUGAGUCGGGGCCCUCACGCUCUUCCUGUCACUUGCUUGGCUACCAGGGUCCGGGUGGGGCGAAACGAUCGCCUCAUGACUACCCCCUUUUGAUCUCGCUGAGCCCGGCGUUGGGGGAUGGGGCGCUGGGCGGCGCUACCCCUUGUACGUUUGGAGAAACUGAGGCCUAGAGUGGACGGUAGCCACAGCUGUCUCUCCGCGGUGGCGCCUCACGUUGGCACCCAUCUCACCUGUAGGCGGUGAGAAGCCGCCUGCCGUGCCGGGUGGCGCCACCCAGUCCAUCGCUGCCUACCCAGUCGGCCCACGUCCGCGCGGGAAGCCUGGCAUGAGUCACUGCUGACGCUUUGCUGGGUCGAUGGAUGGCUGUGCACCUGAGGACGUCUCCCACGCGGCCGCCCAGGAGGAGAGGGCGUUUGUGUAUUGACCGUUUGUGUCUGAUCCCUCGCAAGCUGUCUGCUGACCUUGGAUAGCUCAAUACCAUUUCUCUUUUGCUUUGACCUCCAGGGGAGCCCGCUGUUGUAGUCAUGGCCUCUGAAGACAUUGCCAAAUUGGCAGAGACCCUGGCCAAAACUCAGGUAGCCGGAGGACAGCUGAGUUUUAAGGGCAAGGGUCUCAAACUAAAUACUGCAGAAGAUG